ACAUAUCCAUAUGGUAUAUUCAGAAAAAGAGCAAAUCAUAUACUACACAAGUCUAAAUUGCUUUUAACUUUUAAGAUGGUUGCUUCACAAAACAAACGCAUUCUACAAGUGAUUUUUGUUCUCCUUUGCUUCUUCUCCAUCCAUAUUCAAGUUAAAGCAAGAGUAUUGAAAGAAAUAAACAACCAAAGUAGUGAGGGUGUCAACAAAGCUCAACAACAUAAGGAAGUACAUGCUGACAUGUUUAAGCUAAAAGAAGGAGGAGAUAACGUUGGUUCUGAUGUUUUCACCAUGGAUUAUACUCCAGCAUCAAGGAAACCACCAAUUCACAAUUAAAUAGUUCGCAAAUUUUGGUAUAGUAUGAAAAUUGUACUGAUAUUGAAUAAUACGUUGUACAAAUAGCUAUUCUAUAGCUAUGGUUUUUUGUAA